rnacentral:rRNA from 1 species
UACCAGCACCCCGAGUGGUCGGGACGAUUAUUGGGCCUAAAGCAUCCGUAGCCGGUUCUACAAGUCUUCCGUUAAAUCCACCUGCUUAACAGAUGGGCUGCGGAAGAUACUAUAGAGCUAGGAGGCGGGAGAGGCAAGCGGUACUCGAUGGGUAGGGGUAAAAUCCGUUGAUCCAUUGAAGACCACCAGUGGCGAAGGCGGCUUGCCAGAACGCGCUCGACGGUGAGGGAUGAAAGCUGGGGAAGCAAACCGG